rnacentral:sRNA from 1 species
AGCUGGACGGGGUCGACACCGCGCGUGACCACCAGAUAAUCGCGGAUCACCGUCGAAUGGCGCAUCUC